rnacentral:lncRNA from 1 species
UUUUUUUUUUUUUUUUUGGUUUUUGGUUUUUGUUUUAGCUGCUGCCAUGGCAUCCAGAAGUUCCCGGACCAGGGAACGAACACACACCACAGCAGUGACUGGAGCCACAGCAGUGACAAUGCCAGAUACUUAACCCACUCAGCCACCAGGGAACUCCCUUUGCAAUGUCGGUAUAAAAAAAUGCACAACCUGAAAGUUAAGAGUUAAGUUUUAUUUGGGGCAAAAUUAGGACUUAAUCCUGGAAACAGCAUCUCAGGUAGCCCUGAAAAACUGCUCUGGGGCAGCAGCCAUGGGAGAGCUAGGAUAUACAGGAGUUUUUGCAACGAAGGGGAGGUAUCAGGAACAAAAGAGGCCUGGGCUCACUGAAAUCAUUCCUUUGAUAUGCAUCUCAGCUAUCAGGACCCUUAUCCUGAGUUUUCACAGCCUGCAGGACUCACUGGCUCUCACCCUUGGAGGUGACUGCAUCCACCAACAACCGUGACAUUCUUUGUUUUAUCCUUAACUACAGCCUGGGAGGCAGUAUUUUAGAUACUUGAAAUACCACCCUAAGAGGAAAGGGGGAAUAUCAAGAUAAGAUAGAGGUGCGGAGGAGGUGCACGCAGCCAUACACACACUUUACAAAUUUUGUUCCUGAUCUGAAGGUUACCAGCAGACAUCACCAGGAAGGAUUUUAGUGUUUUUUAGAUAUGAGGAGAUGCAAGAAUUGGGCACAUAAAAUCUUAUCCUAAAAAUAUCUGACUCUCUGAAGCCCUGUUCUUCCAGUUUUCUCAGAGCACAGAGUGCCUCACUACUGAUUUUCACCCUGAGCUCUGCUGGGGGCGGGGAGUGCUGUGGGUCAGCAGCUAUAGUGGCUCACGAUUUAAUUCAUAUAGAGGCUGAUGGCAAGAACCAAACUUCAGUUCACAGCAACUUCAGAGAUGACAAAACAUGUAGAGGGAAAUAAAACAGCACAAUAAAUCUCAUGAACACGUGUCUAUUAUCUCAGGAUUUCAGUUGUUCCUGAACUGCAUGAAGACGUUGAGCCUCGUCUUAUUCAUAAUUUGGUUCACAGAAGCAACAUGAUCUCGAAUUUAAGGUUACUUUAGAAUAACUGCACUUGAAAAACAUCUAGACUUAGAUGAGAAUCUCAAUUUCUUGCUCCCAGUAAGGUGCUGAAAUUGUCUGAAUCACUUAGUCUUCAACACUUAAGCUCUCUCCUAUAAAAAUCACUCGGCCACAUGCUUUUUGCUUAUUUCAUGGAAUGGAAUAGCCUCUUGGGAGACCAACAAUUAUUAUUAUUAAUGAAUCCUCAGGCCUUGUGAACUCUUGACUCUGUGUGUGUCCUAUUCUCUAGUAAAUAUGCUUUCAAAAAUAAGCAAUGUUUGUCGGCCAAGAGUCAACUCAAAAUGAUCUCUGGACAUUCAUUCUGGUAUUCCUCAAAACCCAUUUUAACUUUGCCCAGACCAUGAGAAGCUGCCCCUCAUUACCCCUGCUCACCCCACCCCAGAAAAAUUGCUUAAUUUGUAUAUUUAAGAUUAAUACUUGCAGUAUUAGGCAACCCAGAUGUCAUUUAGCUUCAAAGAAAGAUUAUUACAUUUUUAUUAAUCCAAAAUUCCUGUACACCUGCUUAGCUUCUAUCUUAAACCAGAUUUCUUUUGAAGGCAAAUGGGCCUCAUUCUUCCCUCAGUUCUAACUAGAGGCAGUAUAAAUGACAGUUUGCAUUGAGGAGGAUUUAAAUGGAGAUGGUUCUUUACUCAGUCUUUGUGUAGGAUUAUACCAUAGACAUCUUCCAGGGCCAAAUUUAAAACACAUUUGUUUUAGAGUUUGCCAAGUCUGCUAUUAUUUUGCAGUUUUACUGCUAUUUGAUUUCUGUGUAAAAGUGGUUUUCUGUCUUCACUCUACUCCUCAAAGCCCACUUACUUCUUUCUAUCUCUGAUAUCUCUUUUCAGCAAAGGCAGUGAAAAAGGAUAGGAAAUUCAAAGUGGAUCCACUUCUCUUUGAAAAACGUUACGGUUCCUUCUACAAAAGCUAAGCACAAUCUUCCUGCCUUACUACCCAUUUUACCCCAUUGUAAUGAGCAUAGCAUAUAUUGUUUAUGGAGCUACUGAAAGUAUCCUGAGAAAUAAUUCAAAAAAUACUUGGUGGUUGGGAGCAUGUUUCACUCUACAACCUCAUGGAAUGUGUGCAAAAGCUGAGCUGAGCUCGCUGACCAAAUUAUACUCCUUUGGACUUAGACCAUUUUUUUCUCCUGAAACAUUAGGAGCACCUUCAUAUUUCCUGUUUCAUUUGGUUUACAGAGCCUUUUUCUUAGGAGGUCAGCAAUUGUAAUUUGCUCUUAAGUGUAGGGAAUACUCCCUGUAGCCUGACCUGGCCCAUACUGAAGUGGAACUAUAUGUUUUUUGCUCCUAAAUACAGUGAGCAUAGAUGGGGGAUGCCAGUAUACCAGCAGUCUGAACGUCCACGGUGUCAAUGUGGUAUGUUUUGUUUCCUAUCACAUGUCAGGAAUUCUCAGUUCCUGUCCAAGAGAAUGUGCUCAAUUGAAGUCUAUGAGAAAGCACUUUGCAAGAAAGAUGAAUAAGGACCUGGAAUAAAGGUCCACCCAAUGUCUUCAUUUAUUCGUAAAGCUCCUUAGGAACUCUCUCAGUGGACACCUGAAAUCUACCAUCAGAGUAAGCCUAAAAUUCUCUGAAGAACACCAUUCCCCACUCACAUUUUAAGUUAAAACCUUUGAGAGGUUGACACAUUUUCUUUGUGAUCACGAUCACAGUGUUUUCAGUGGCUCUGCACCGCGAGGGGAACAUCAUAGACAUUGUUUCAUUUGACCAUCUCCAUCGCUCUGUGAGGUGACUCUUAUUUUCCCUACCUCAACAGGUUUUAGAAACCUUACAAGAAGGUUUGGNAACUUGUUUAUUUCAGAUGUUCCAUCAAGUUCACAAAUGUCCACAAAGAGUCCAAAAACUCUUUUUUAAGAUGUUUACCCAUAAGAUAGGGACAAUAAUACUUACCUCGUAAAUUUUAAAAUAUUUUUCUUGUCGAUCAGGAAGUAAUAACUUAAAAAUUGGUGUACAAGAGACUAGAGGAAAAUAUGAAGAGAAAUAGUUUUUUUCCAAUGGGUUUAUGGAGUUUUAUUUCAGCCUAUCAGUCUCCAAAUUAGGCCACAGAUUUUAAAAAGGAUUUACCGUCGAAACUACUCACUUUAAGAACAAGCCUUGGAAUUCCCACUAUGGCACAGAAGGUUAAGGAUCUGGUGUUGUCUCUGUGGUGGCUCAGGUCACUGCUGAGGCACAAGUUCAGUCCCCAGCCCAGAGCAUUGAGGUUAAGGAUCUGGCAUUGCCACAGCUGUGAUGUGGGUUGCAGCUGUGGCAAUGUGGAAAUUCCAGGACCAGGAAUUUCCAUAUGCUGUGAGUGCAAACCCCCCCAAAGAAAAAUCACCUUCCAGAUUACCUUUAUAAUAAUAUUUAGUGAACAUAAAAGCCCUAUUUAAAAUAUCUUUGUUUGGUUUUAACCCUCAUAACUUAUCGUCAAAAACCACCUCUAUACAAUAAAGUCCUGGGUUAGAGCCAUGCAAAACAUGAUAGGCAGAACAAAAUUCUGCAAGAAACCACUGACAAUUAAAACUGGGAAAUCAUGAGCACAGAGCCCUGUCUGUACCCAUCCUCCUCAUGGCCUAGUUUGUAGACAAAAGCAAGUUCCUCACCCUGCCUGGGUCUCUAUUCUAUGAGAAAGUGAUUGACUAGAGGAUAUGACUCAAAGUUUCUUCAAGCUCUCAGAUUCUAAGUAAAUCUUUUUAGUUGAUUGAAAAAAGACAAUAGCCAGACCAUAAUGGUGGACAGCAGCCAGGGUCAGGGUGAAUCUGUUCAGCAUAAGAAUAAAGCACAUGUACCAAAAGGCAAGUCCAUAUGGGCCUAAGACUUGGUGGGUCACCUCUAAGUGAUGGAGAAAAAAUGUACUUCAGGUUUUCAGUUCUAUUUAUACCCAUAAGUAGUGACAUCUUUAAGAGAAACCUUCAGAGUUCUUAUGAAGAAAAAGUAAAGGACUAUUUGUGAUCUUGAAGGCAAUAUUCAUGGAAAAAUGUAUAUUGUUUUCAGAUUUUAAGCAAAAUCAAUGUUUAACAGUAUCUUUGGCAAAGGGAAAAUUGUGAACAACAUGGUAUGCAGCUGUAUAUGGAAAAACUAAAAAUGGAAGUCUAAUUUGGUCUUAAAUUAGAAACACAUCUGAGUUUUGUUAACAAUUUCAAUGAUAUUAAUUUGUUUCUUUCACUCCUUAAUUGUGUGUAUAUGUGUCAAAGAGAAUAGAGAAGAAAGAGAGUGGGAGGGGGAAGGAGAGGGAGAAAGAAGAAAGAAGAAAAGGAUUAAAAACAAGAAAGGGAGAGAUAAAAUAUAUGACAAAGAUAGAAGUUACAGUCCAUAUGUGGACUUCAUUCUGCUCACACAGGCUAGGAUGGCAGGAGCACUUUACCCAGAAAGAACAAAUCACUGAAUUCCUUUCAAAAUCCACUCAAAAGGCAGCAUGUUUAAGAGAAACCUGUGACUUCUUAGCUGUAUAAUCUAAUAGUGCUCCAGUCUAAACUUUUUGCAAUAACAGACACACAAGUACAAAACCAAACCACUAGAAAGCCCUAUGAGAUACCCAGAUGUGAAAGCUAUACUUUAUUAAAUUAUAAAAUUAUGGACAUAGGUAGAUUUAUUCUUAUUACCUGAACUCAGUAAUGAUUACUGAAUGACCAUAAAUUUUUCUAAUUUAGGCUAUACUCAAUUGCAAACAGGCCAGCUUCCCAUGAAGAUUCAAGGACGUCAUGUCUAUAGCCCGAGUACAGUCAAUUUCAUAGUAAUAAUUGAAACAAUCUAGCACAUUCUCUGAGAAGUGCAUUUAAUGCUAAAAAUAUGUACAUUGAUGGCUAGUCACAUGUACCCUUUAAGUCACACAAAAUCAGAAAGGAAGAAAUUGUGAUAAGAUUUCAUCUUUGUCACAAUCGCAUACCAAUCUAGUCCCUAAAUGACUUCAUAAAGGAAGAAAUUAGAAAAGAUUUCAUCUUUGUCACAAUUGCACUACCAAUCUAGUCCCUAAAUGACUUCUCAAUUCUCAAGGAUUCCAAGCUGACUCUUUUUGUUCUAUUUCUAAAUUUCUAAUCCACUCAAAUAGUGCUCUGGUAAAUCUGUACCAUUAAUUUUUAUAAGAAUAACUCAGGAGCUUGUUGACAGGGACUGUUCAGUUCCCUAACUGUAACCAAGUGAUUUCGAGUAGAUCUGGGUUGACACCAAGAACAUACCUUUUUAAUGAGCAAGGUCUAGAGUCUAGGAAAGUACAUAGACUGUACCUUGAGAAAUAUGGGAUAUUUCAUUUCUAAGGGUCCUUCUAAUUGUAAAAUGUUUAGACCUUGCAGAACAGAAAGUGGUACAGAGAGGCCAGAAGAGUGAUAAUGAUUUAGAGGAAGGAUACAUUAUAAAAGUAAAUGAAAAAUUCAUUCACUUGUCAGCACAUUUUGCCAAUAAGCCAAGCACAGUACAUGUAGCUGUUGAUAAAGACAUGAAAAGGACCUCCAAUUUGCUGGAGGUGACAGAUGAUAAACAAAUAAUUAUAAAGCAGUAGUAUCCAUGCAAUAAUGAAGAUGUUUUCUCUUAGAAGGGAAGAACUGAAAAGUUUUCAACUCUGUCAGAGAGAAUACUUGAGUUUAAAAGGAUAAGGAUAAGAACAGGAUCUAGAAUGGAUUAAGAAAGAGGAGGAAAUAGAAAAAAGAAUCAAAGCAACUGAUGCCAUGGAAAGAGGAAAGGAGAUGUAGGAAUACAGCUUGUAAGGUGUAUAGAGCAUAGGAGAAAUUGGCAAAGACUGAAUUUUGCCCUAGGUCCUAUGAUUCAAUAUACUUCUAAGGCUUUAAUCUCUUUUGCCUUUUUCUCUCAAAUUUUUUAUACCAAAAUUUCUACUAUUUUCUACUUGAGAUCUUUGGAACAAUGAGUCUAUGUUUUAUUUUGUUAAAAAAGCUAGAUUAUCAGUGUGUCUAAUAAGGUAAUCAUAAUAUUAUCAUUUUCUGUAGCUACAGGCUUCCAAGUAUUGAGAUUUAUUGAUGAUUUUGAAUUUUGGGGAAUCUGUUGUUUAUUUUCAUUUGUUGUUUUAUCCUUGUAUGCUCUAAAACAGAACUGUUUGGACAGUUUUUAAACACUUGACAAUCAUUUAAUCAAACUCUAUUCUCCUGUACUGCAAACUAAAUCCAAAGCAAAACUGGGCUCUGAUGUGUGUGUGUUUGUGUGUGUGUGUGUGUGUGUGUGUGUGUGUAUGUGAUUGAAAAGGCAAGUUAAUUGCUAUAUCCAUCCAUGGAAACAGUUUUUGGUGAAGUUUUUAAUAAAGUUUUUAGUAAAUUAUGUAUAAAAUGCUAUUCAGUUGCUAAAUAUUUUGUGUCCACUGCUGUUGUUGUUUUUAUAGUUCUUCUAAAAGAAAAAUAAAACUCCCGCUCUCUUAACCAAAUUUAGAAGCAUCUCAUAGGAAAAGCAAGAGGCUAAAUCUUUCUCUUUUUUCUUCUUUAUAAGCAUUUAAUUUAAUUUAUUUAUAUUUCUUUCACAUACAUGUAUAUAGUUUAUACAU